AUGUUCAGAUUAGCCAUGCAUGUCUCAGUAUAAGCUUCUAUACGGCGAAACUGCGAAUGGCUCAUUAAAACAGUUAUAGUUUAUUUGGUGGUCAGCAAUUACAUGGAUAACCGUGGUAAUUCUAGAGCUAAUACAUGCGCCCAAACCCGACUUCGUGGAAGGGUUGUGUUUAUUAGAUACAGAACCAACCCAGGCUCCGCCUGGCCUUGAGGUGAUUCAUAAUAACCAAACGAAUCGCAUGGCGAUGCCGGCGAUAGACCAUUCAAGUUUCUGACCUAUCAGCUAUCGUCGGUAGGGUAUUGGCCUACCGUGGCAAUGACGGGUAACGGAGAAUUAGGGUUCGAUUCCGGAGAGGGAGCCUGAGAAACGGCUACCACAUCUAAGGAAGGCAGCAGACGCGCAAAUUACCCAAUCCUGACGCAGGGAGGUAGUGACAAGAAAUAACAAUACAGGGCAUACAUGUCUUGUAAUUGGAAUGAGUAAACUUUAAAUCACUUUAC
rnacentral:rRNA from 1 species